AACGAACGCUGGCGGCAGGCUUAACACAUGCAAGUCGAGCGCCCCGCAAGGGGAGCGGCAGACGGGUGAGUAACGCGUGGGAAUCUACCGAGCCCUGCGGAAUAGCUCCGGGAAACUGGAAUUAAUACCGCAUACGCCCUACGGGGGAAAGAUUUAUCGGGGUUUGAUGAGCCCGCGUUGGAUUAGCUAGUUGGUGGGGUAAAGGCCUACCAAGGCGGCGAUCCAUAGCUGGUCUGAGAGGAUGAUCAGCCACAUUGGGACUGAGACACGGCCCAAACUCCUACGGGAGGCAGCAGUGGGGAAUAUUGGACAAUGGGCGCAAGCCUGAUCCAGCCAUGCCGCGUGAGUGAUGAAGGCCUUAGGGUUGUAAAGCUCUUUCACCGAUGAAGAUAAUGACGGUAGUCGGAGAAGAAGCCCCGGCUAACUUCGUGCCAGCCGCCGCCGUAACAC
rnacentral:rRNA from 1 species